GACUUGAAAACCACUGCCUUAAUAGAAUCAGUUAGGAAACAUAUGCUUUAUGAAAUACUGGCAUGUUUUGCAUGCUGUAAUCAACAGGAAACUGAUUCCUAGAUCAAAAUCCAAAACAAAAUCCAAUCCAAAGUAGCUCUUCUCAGCCCAUCAUUAAGAAAGAGAAUCUGUUAGCUUCAGUUUCAUUCUGAGCACAUUUGACACUUUUGAUCAUGAGACCCAAGACAGUCAUGUUUUGGGAAAUCCCAUGUAGGGCUUAGGAAAGUUAUCUAAAUAUCCUUGUUUGGUUUACAAGAAGACUAAUGGCCCCCUUCAGAUGUGUGUAAGGGGCUUCUGUGACGAAAGUUUUCUCAACAAUAGUAUAGUUGCCUGCCUUGGGUCAAAAUGAGGACUUUGGCUGCAGAGUACCAUGCUAUGUAUAUAUUUUAAUAGGUCUCUACAACAGCUGGUUCAGGUAGCAGUUUUUGCAUGAUCCUCCUGUAAGUUCUGGUGGAAGCAGUUCGGUAGAUCUUGGAGAUAUCCUUAUCUAUUCAUUCAUAUAAUAAAUGUUCUUGAAUUCCUCUCUAUGCCACACCUAGUGCACAGCUGUAGGGAUACAGUGGUGAAUAAGACAGACCCCAUUUUCUGCACGGACAGAGCAGUCCAAGGAGCUGGCCAGUGGCACAUAAAGACUAUUCUGACUGCCGUGGGAAGAACGGGCUUUUGAAGUGAGACAACACGGAGCAGCAUAGAUCUCAUUUCAAGUGCAGCAUUUUUAAAAAGCACCUACAUCCUCAAAAAUUAAAAAACAUUCUGGGCCCACCAUAAUUCUUGAUACUGCAUUUGUUGAGCAAGUUCCAUCAUAGUCCUGAACACUUCCCAAAUGUCCAAAGCGAUCACAGAGCAGGAGGGGAGGAGAGAAAGUGUGUACAUUGUGCUCUGUGCUUCACAAGGCAACCAGGUCAGCCAGAAGAGAUCAGGCCAUGAUGACUGCCAUCACGAGGAGCUCCUAGCUUUCUGAGUGGAGAACUAAAUACCAGAAAGGUGUGGUUCCUUCCUCAAAGAAUAGAUUUCCUUGUUGUGAAGCAGUGAUUUCCAAACUUUGAGGACAUACUAUAUACAAAUGUGUGUGUGUCUGUGUGUUCUGUGUGUACUACUGAAUUAACUAUCUAUUUGUGUUAUAAAAACACACAAGAUAGAAAUUAAGAAAGACUGAGAUGAACUGAACAGAAAUAGAAAUCUUUCUUUCUCCCUCUCUCCCUCUAGUGAAUUUUCCUACAUGGUGCCUGGGGUGUGACCAUCCACCUUCCAAGAUUACCCUAAGUGACAAAAUACUGGGAGGUCAAAAUAUGUUGCUUCAGUGAACAAAAGGCAGU